GGCGUGCCUAAUACAUGCAAGUCGAGCGAAUUAAUAGGAGCUUGCUCCUGUUAAUUAGCGGCGGACGGGUGAGUAACACGUGGGCAACCUGCCUGUAAGACUGGGAUAACACCGGGAAACCGGUGCUAAUACCGGAUAAUCCUUUUCCUCUCAUGAGGAAAAGCUGAAAGACGGUUUCGGCUGUCACUUACAGAUGGGCCCGCGGCGCAUUAGCUAGUUGGUGAGGUAACGGCUCACCAAGGCGACGAUGCGUAGCCGACCUGAGAGGGUGAUCGGCCACACUGGGACUGAGACACGGCCCAGACUCCUACGGGAGGCAGCAGUAGGGAAUCUUCCACAAUGGACGAAAGUCUGAUGGAGCAACGCCGCGUGAGCGAUGAAGGCCUUCGGGUCGUAAAGCUCUGUUGUUAGGGAAGAACAAGUACCGGAGUAACUGCCGGUACCUUGACGGUACCUAACCAGAAAGCCACGGCUAACUACGUGCCAGCAGCCGCGGUAAUACGUAGGUGGCAAGCGUUGUCCGGAAUUAUUGGGCGUAAAGCGCGCGCAGGCGGUCCUUUAAGUCUGAUGUGAAAGCCCACGGCUCAACCGUGGAGGGUCAUUGGAAACUGGGGGACUUGAGUGCAGAAGAGGAAAGCGGAAUUCCACGUGUAGCGGUGAAAUGCGUAGAGAUGUGGAGGAACACCAGUGGCGAAGGCGGCUUUCUGGUCUGUAACUGACGCUGAGGCGCGAAAGCGUGGGGAGCAAACAGGAUUAGAUACCCUGGUAGUCCACGCCGUAAACGAUGAGUGCUAAGUGUUAGGGGGUUUCCGCCCCUUAGUGCUGCAGCUAACGCAUUAAGCACUCCGCCUGGGGAGUACGGCCGCAAGGCUGAAACUCAAAGGAAUUGACGGGGGCCCGCACAAGCGGUGGAGCAUGUGGUUUAAUUC
rnacentral:rRNA from 1 species